ACAAAGAACUCAAGAGAAUCAUCAAAAGGAAAGGAAGCCUAGCAACCAACUCAUCUUCAUACUCAGACAACCUUCAAUGAAGUCCUGAACUUUAAUGUGUCAGGAGAUCAACAACUCUGAGACUCCAAAAGAUCACUGGAAUGUAUUGAUUUCAUAUGCAUCUAUCUUAUCUCUGAUUCACAGUCAAGGGAGUAAGAAAAAUGAGGGGGAAAUAAUCUACUGGCAUAUCAAAAUCAAUUACUGGAGUCAACUAGGGUCACUUUGAUGAUUCAGAGGUCCCUCCUCACUCCGACUUUCUGUGAUUCAUAGAUGGAACAGAUGGGAACUGAGCAGGUUAAAGCACUAUGUUAGGGCAGUUCAUACAUCCACAAUAUCAUGGAGGCACUGAUGAACUGCUACUUAGCUCAUCCAGUGUGUGUGUGAGUGUGUGUGUGUGUGUGUGUGUGUGUGUGUGUGUGUGUGUGUGCUAACUAGAUAGAAGGUGUUUAAAAAUAGGAACUGUUUCAUAUAACUCCUAAAGAUCAGGCAUUAUUUUGCUUGCUUUGUAUCCUUAGCACCUGGCACCAUUUCUGGCAUCUACUUAUUUAUUAAAUGUUGUAGGCACUUAAUGAAUGCUUCCUGAGUUAAUGGCUGGCUGGCUGGCCGGAUGGAUGGAUGGAUUGACCAUAGGGCCUCUAACUCUUUCUCCCACAUGGUACAUAUUGUGUUCUUUGUGUUCUCACUUAAUUAUCCUUGUGCUCAUUCUGUCUGUCCCUUAAGAUUCACACAUCUAGCUACAACCAGGAACUGUCCAUCAGCAAAAUCUUGAAAUUGGAAAAGGU
rnacentral:lncRNA from 1 species